rnacentral:misc_RNA from 1 species
GAUGAAGAACGUAGCGAAAUGCAAUAAGUAGUGUGAAUUGCAGAAUUCAGUGAAUCAUCGAAUCUUUGAACGCACAUUGCGCCCCUUGGUAUUCCAUGGGGCAUGCCUGUUCGAGCGUCAUUUGUACCUUCAAGCUCUGCUUGGUGUUGGGUGUUUGUCUCGCCUCUGCGCGUAGACUCGCCUCAAAACAAUUGGCAGCCGGCGUAUUGAUUUCGGAGCGCAGUACAUCUCGCGCCUUGCACUCAUAACGACGACGUCCAAAAGUACAUUUUUACACUCUUGACCUCGGAUCAGGUAGGGAUACCCGCUGAACUUAAGCAUAUCAAUAAGCGGAGGA